GGCCCUGUAGCUCAGUUGGUCAGAGCGUCGGUUUUACACACCGAAGGUCCACAGUUCGAGCCUGUGCGGGGCCACCA
rnacentral:tRNA from 1 species